CUUAUAUCUAGUUUGGCUCCUACAAGUUAGUUUUAAACUUCAUUUUAUGCAAAUGACAACUUUUACAAGGCCGGAUACUAUUUGGGAGAUGGCAUCUACCCAAAGUAUGCAAUUUUCGUCAAGACUUUUACCGACACAAUUGACAACAAAAGAAAGUUGUUUAAGAAGAAACAAGAAUUGGCAAGAAAGGAUAUUGAAAGAGCGUUUGGUGGUUUGGUGUACGGAAGAAGAGGUGGAAGGUUAUUAGUAAUCCUUCACGGUAUUGGGACAAGGAUAAGAUGCAAUCCGUGAUCUACACUUGUAUCAUCCUACAUAACAUGAUUUUAUAGGACGAAGACAAAGCUUUCUGUCAAGACUACAACCCGGAAGACCCUUCUUUGGACCCAUACUGGACACAAGAAACUCCCAUGGAGCAACGGAUCGAGAACACGCAUGCGAUCAAAAGUAAAGAAACCCACAACAUACUCAUGGCGGAUUUAGUGGAUCAAGUAUGGACGACCCGUUCGCGACAAGAUGAACCUGUGCCCGACCUCAAUGAAUACGUUAGCGAUGAUGACGCUUAGUCUUUUUAUAUUUAUGUAACGGGACUUAAUUUUUAUUUUAUAUGUAUGAACUUUUUUAUGUG